rnacentral:rRNA from 1 species
GUGAGGAAUAUUGGACAAUGGGCGCAAGCCUGAUCCAGCCAUGCCGCGUGCAGGAAGACGCAUCUAUGGUGUGUAAACUGCUUUUGUACGGGAAGAAACACUCCCUCGUGAGGGAGCUUGACGGUACCGUAAGAAUAAGGAUCGGCUAACUCCGUGCCAGCAGCCGCGGUAAUACGGAGGAUCCAAGCGUUAUCCGGAAUCAUUGGGUUUAAAGGGUCCGUAGGCGGUUUAAUAAGUCAGUGGUGAAAGCCCAUCGCUCAACGAUCGAACGGCCAUUGAUACUGUUAGACUUGAAUUACAAGGAAGUAACUAGAAUAUGUAGUGUAGCGGUGAAAUGCUUAGAUAUUACAUGGUAUACCAAUUGCGAAGGCAGGUUACUACUUGUGGAUUGACGCUGAUGGACGAAAGCGUGGGGAGCGAACAGGAUUAGAUACCCGUGUAGUCC